GGGCUGUAGCCUGUUGGCGAGCGCGUCCUUCGCAAGGACGAGGCCGUCGGUUCGAUCCCGAUCAGCUCCA
rnacentral:tRNA from 1 species